rfam:Nicotiana attenuata strain TT chromosome 1, whole genome shotgun sequence.
CGGACAGAUUAUUGUAUUCGACUGUAUUCACGGCAUAAAAUAGGGGAUUACACUAUUUUUAAAAUGGAAAGUGAAUCAAUUAACAUAAUAGACUCCU